GACGAACGCUGGCGGCGUGCUUAACACAUGCCAGUCGAACGCUGAAGCUCAGCUUUUGUUGGGUGGAUGAGUGGCGAACGGGUGAGUAACACGUGAGUAACCUGCCCCCUUCUUUGGGAUAACGCCCGGAAACGGGUGCUAAUACUGGAUAUUCACUGGUCUUCGCAUGGGGGUUGGUGGAAAGGGUUUUUCUGGUGGGGGAUGGGCUCGCGGCCUAUCAGCUUGUUGGUGGGGUGAUGGCCUACCAAGGCUUUGACGGGUAGCCGGCCUGAGAGGGUGACCGGUCACAUUGGGACUGAGAUACGGCCCAGACUCCUACGGGAGGCAGCAGUGGGGAAGAUUGCACAAUGGGCGCAAGCCUGAUGCAGCGACGCCGCGGGAGGGAUGGAGGCCGUCGGGUUGUGAACCUCUUUCGCUCAUGGUCAAGCCGCAACAAUGGUUGUGGUGAGGGUAGUGGGUAAAGAAGCGCCGGCUAACUACGUG
rnacentral:rRNA from 1 species